GUAUUGUAUUGCGUUAAACGCGGCAUACAUUCCAUGAGACUUUGUUACAGUGUGUGUGUGUAAAGACAUAGAACCACAGCAGGAGGACAGAGUCCCCCAUGCCACAGAACUACAGAGGGUGCACAGGUGUGAGUGGAUGUGUGAACAGAGCGUGCACGUGCCCCCGUUUGGGGACCAGCAACAACUCGUGUUGACAAUUCAGUAAUGAUCCUUCCGCAGGUUCACCUACGGAAA
rnacentral:misc_RNA from 1 species